rnacentral:lncRNA from 1 species
UUUUUUUUUUUGCUUUUUGCUUUUUAGGGCUGCACCUGAGGCAUAUGGAGGUUACCAGGCUAGGGGUCCAAUUGGAGCUGCAGCUGCCUGCCUAUACCACAGCCACAGCAACAUCAGAUCCAAGCCCUGUCUGGGACCUACACCACAGCUCAUGGAAAUGCCGAAUCCUUAACGCACUGAACGAGGCCAGGGAUGGAACCUACAACCUCAUGGUUCCUAGUUGGAUUCAUUUCUACUGAGCCAUGUCAGGUACUCCCAUUUUAUUCUUAUUACGAAAAGAAAAUUCCUUUUACCUCUCUUAUGUUUCUUCCUCAAAUACUGUCAACAGUGUUAUUCACUGUGAAAUGAAAUAACCAAAAGCCAGGGGGAUCUUCCAAUUGAAAUACUGCACUGAAUAUUUAUCCUCUACCUAUUGUUUUUAAAAAUGAACUAUAGCAAGUAUCAAAGCAGUAGAGAUAAUAGCACAGAUGGUCAAAAAUAUUAGAAAACUGUACAAAAGAGUCUAUAAAUCAUACAAGAAAGAUCAAAUUGCUAAAAUGUGUCAUAUAUUUUCCCAAAAGAUUAUAUAUUUAAGAAAAAGUGUCUUGCAACGGAACUGAGAAAGAAGGAGGCUACAUUUAAUGUUACAGCAUUUAGAAAUUAUUCAAAAAAUGGUUGGAAAUAGCACUGAGAGCAGAAUGCUCAAAGAAUAGGAUAAGAGAGAAGAAAACAUUGCUAUAUCCUUCUGCCUUGUCUAUUCCCCUUACUUCUUCCUGUAAUGACUUUAAUCCAAGUAUUUCUUACGAGUCUGCCUUGUCCACACUCCUCUUCACUUGAUCUUAGUGCUUAGACUUUUUUUUUUUUUUUUGGCAAAAACUACGCCAAAAUAUGCUACUGAGUUUAGCAGCCAAAACCCUGAUGUUUACUUUGGUAAAUGUAGAUUACUCUGAAGCUGUACCUUAUUUUAUGCAGUAGAUUUCUGAAAAAGUUACAUGUAAUUUCCAUAAAUAAAGUAUUUUAAGGGAAAAGGUGGGUUAUUUCCUUCUUCAAUGAAUUUUUUAAUAAAGUGAAGAAUUCUCUGGUAAGGCAAAUAAUCAUUCUUCAAAUAAUAUCACAGCGCCCCUCCCCAAAUCAGAUUUGCCAGAGAUGAGUUCUACUACUAUAAUAUGAUGGACAGUCUGAGUAAGGUCUCACUACAAAGAUAAUUUAGAAGAAUUUCUUGGUCAGGCAUUCACUAUUCUAAUUAUUGCUAGUCACCUUAUUUUACGUGGUCCGAGACCAAAAGGUCAUGGUAUGAUUUUGACAAUCUAUGCAUAAUUUACACGUUAGGGUCUGGUUCAGAAUAGGACUAUAACUUUAUGAAGUCACCUUUGAAUAUGAAAUAUCAUUUUUUAAUAAAUUUGUUUCAGGGGGAAAAACUAGCAUACGCUCCUACCCUCUUACUUAUACCUCCCUCCCCUACAACAAAAGAAUUUUUUUUUUAAAGAAAAGGUAAUGAAUAAAUGCUAUGUUUCCCAUGAUAAAGGGGAAAAAAAGCCUAGAAAGAUAUGAAACACACUAAUAUUAACAGGAUAACAUACCUAUGAUACUUUCAAAAUGACAAGGCUUGAUUUUAAAAAUUGAUCUUUAACAAGAAAAAGAAAUAUGGGCAAUUAGGAAGUAAUGAAGACCCUGUCAAUAUAGCUAUGUUGAUAAUAACAGGUAAGGGAAUUCUUGAGAAAAUCUAAUAUAUAAAAAUCAGGAGGUCUGUAAUAUGCAUUAUUGAGUCCCAGUGGGAUUAACUAAUGAAUUUAUAAGCUCACCAGCAGUUAUUUUUAGAAAGUUAUAAAGAAUUAGAGAAAUAUUAGAGCAUGGAAAAAUAAUGUGCCUUCUAAAAAGAAAGAAAAUAUAUAUUACUACUAAAAUUCAUUUUAAAAUGAAUUCUAGAGGUUCUAAGGAGAAUAUCAUUAAAAUAUAUAAAAAUUUAUCAGUAUUUGAACAGAGAAGGGCUUCUAAUGGAGACACUCUAAGUUAGAAGAUACAGGUGAGACUCAGCUACACUGAGUAUAGCUAUACUCAGCUACUCUCUGAAGUGGGGUAGGGUGUUUGUUGAGGGAAAUGCCAAAAGCAGCUCAGUAAACAUGCUGCAUGGUCUGGUUAAAUUACUUGUGUUAAGAUACAGGUAAGUCUCUGUCCACUGCUAACACUGUGCAUACUGUUAAAGCUGAGACUGAGUUGAGACCCUAAAGGCAAGUUGUCAAGCUUGACCAGAGAUAAGAGGCUGAAAAAAAGACAAAAAAUUAGUGGUUGAAACAUUUGUAGCCCCUGGGGAAGACUGUCCUUUCCUCCAGCUUUGUUUUUGUAUUUCUCAUCUAUGGAAGAGGAGUUGAGGAGUGGUCUGGGAAUGGACAGCUUAAGAACCAAGGCGAAAACGUUGAGAAGUAAACCAGUCUUAGGCAGAGUAGAGAACCUGUAGGAGCUGUGGGUCUCUGACAUCAAACCUGGCAGACCUCUCCAAAGAAACUUCUCCUAACCAAUAAAAAAAUGGAUGCAUUUUAUUGCUUCCAGUUGCCUAUCAAACCCAGAUAGCUGGUGUAGAAGUGCUUUCUUUGGUUUUAAUUCUUGUCUCACCUGCUCCUCUUAGCAUUGCCGUUAAGGCCUGGCCUCCAGGGAUACAUGUUUCCCUUUAAAAUUUGAACCCAGGUAUGGGCAAAAUUUCUCUUUUUCUAGUUUUCUAGUUUCUUUGUCAUUUUCACAAGUAACUUUACAGAAAGAUGGUAAGAGCAAAGAAAUCUAAACAAGAAAUGCAGAGUCGGAGUUCCCGUCGUGGCGCAUUGUGGAUUCUAUUCUAAAGGAUAUAUUUUGUGGGUGGUUUUUCCAGAGGUCGUGUGAGUGAGUAAUUUAUACAUUCACACAUGUAUUCAUUGUGUGCCAGGGACUAUUUCUUUGGGCUGGGGAUGCAGUGGUGAGCAAGAUACAUAAAGACUCUCCUCUUGUAGCAUACAUGUGGGUGAGGAUGGCAGGCAAUCAACAGGUAAAACAAUCGACAUGAUAAUUUCAGAGUCAGAUGCACUGUGAAGAAAACACAAAAGGGGGACGUGAAGAGAAAGAGAAGGAGAGGUGGUCAUCAAUUUUGCUCAGAUGGAGAAGACUUAUGACCUGAGACCAGAAGGGAAUGGAGCCAGGAGAGUGCCACAGGCAGAGUUCUGGAAGAACAGGGGCAGGGAGGGGCUCUGAGGAGGAAAAUGCUGGUCACAGGGAACCAGCUCAUUGGGACCAGCUCAUUGGUCAAAGCUGGAUGCCUGGAGUAUGGUGGCUGAGGGAGAAAGUGGUAGAAGAUGAUUCAGAGAGGUGGGCAGCCUCACUACGUGAGGUCUCUCAAGCUAGAGUGAAACAUUUUAAUUUUAUUCCAAGUACAAUGGAAGAGCUGUCUGCAGAGUUUUUGCAGAGGAGAAAUAUAAUUUGACUGCAUAUAAAAAAGAGUACACUGGUUGGAAAAUGGAGAAUGGAUUAUGGAGAGUUGGAUGAUGGAUUUAACCCUUCCUGAUUGCAUUUAUCAAUUCCUCCCACCUCUAGAUCAUUCUCUGGGGCUCAUUCUUCUCCUGCGCACUUCAGAGUAUAAAACCCACCUACUGCUAGUUCACAUAAAUAAAGUGAGUAAUAGUAGGAUGUAAUAUUAAUAUGCAGUAGGAACUGAAAGACAGCCUAAUGAAAUAAUAUUUCAGAGUAGUGGAGAAAAAAAAUGGAGUUGAACUAGAAAUAGCAUUCUCCUAACAAUUCUGCUUUUGGUAUAUAUGCUGAUACCUCUGGUUUCUUGGCCCUUUGGACUAUGGGAAGGUACUCUGCUGUCACAGUGUUCCAUUUCUGCAAGGCAGAAAGUAACUGGUGGACUUACUAGCCAGGUAGGUGUUUCUACUUUCUUCAUUUCCUUGAAUAGACACAACAUUCUCUCAGUUACUUUAGCUCAAAACUGCUAGGUCAUCUUUGAUUUUGUGGCCUCCUGAUCCCAUCACUUACCAAAUCCUGACAAUUACACCUCAGCAAAGUUUUUCCAAUCUCUUUUUUUCCCCCAUUCCAUUCCCCUGUUACCACCUUUUACUUUAUUUAUUGACCUGUCAUUUAGAAUCCAGAAACUGCCUGCUAACUCAUUUCACUGCCUUCAACCUCUUUUCUAUCCUGUACUUUGCUACCAGAUGAAAAAUUCUAAAGUAUCAUUUGUGUCAUAGACCUCUUUCUAGAUAAGCAUAUCCAAUGGUCUCCAUUAUCUAUCAAAUUAAGUAGAAAUUCCUUCAUGUGGUUUAAAGCCCUUCAUUCCUUGGAUCCAGCCUUCUUUUCUGGGUAAUCUGUCAACUGUUCUUCUGUAAGUAUUCUCUAUUUUCCUAGACCCAGGUCAAUUGACAAUUUUUAAACCUUUUCAAAAUCUCAGGGACUGGACAUCUGUGAUCCUGAGGUCCAGCCAGAGAAGAGGUUGAUCACUACUGCAAAGUUUUUGAAGGCAGGGGUCAAACUUAACUCAUCAAUACAGAUGGAUAAACGUACCCUAUGUUGAACUGCAUGCUAGCUUUCAGAGUGAAGAAAUAAAUUCCUCUAACAAUUAUAAUUUUCCAGACAACAAAUUAAUACCACACACACACAGACACACACAAAUAAAUUCCUCUCAAAUUGGAAUAUCAUGACAGUUAGAUACUUUAUAAGUAAAACUGAAGGAAGUAGAGUCUUCUCCUUGCCCUCUCCAACAAACUGAUGAGGUAGACUCAGGUGAUCCACUAUCCAUGAGCAACUAGUUGAUAAGCACUGACAAAUAACUCAAAGUAUUUUCCAGAUCUCUUUGGCUAAAAUGCAGUGCUUAUCUAACACAUACAAUAUACUAGCAUCAGAAGAUAUUAAGUAAAGUUUAAGAACUGAAAACUCUGAGAGUCAAACUUUAACUGUUCAAGAGCUUAUAUUCCCAAGAUGUGGUUGGCUUGGUUCAAGUUUAGAUGCAGAUAGAAACAUAUCAAAUAUAAGAUAGUAAAGAGAUGGAAAGGACCCAAGAUAAAAUUUCAUCCAACAGUUUCAUUUCACAAGUGAGAAAUCUAAAGUCCAGAGCAGCUGUGAUGGGCCACAGAUACACAGACAUUUUGCUUAAAUAUAGUUAAUAUUUAGAAAGUGAUUAAGCAUUAUAAGAGUAAAAUUUUCAGAAGAUAUACAUCUAAUUGCUUUAAGAUCCAGUUCAAUAUUUACUUCCUCUAAUAAGCCUUCUUUGAUUAACCUCAGCCCAUAGGUUAAAACAACUACUCCCUGUCUUCACGUUUCAGUGUUUUGUAUAUAGUGUAUACUAUAUUAUUAUAUACUUGAUGGAAAACAUCUUGGUUUAUCCCUAAAUAAUUUGAGGGUAAUGCCUCAAAAUUUUUAUUCCUGAAAGUCACAGCUGAGGCUUAAUAAAUGUUUGCUAUAAGAAAACCUGUCCAGGACAGAAACCACCAGAAAAAUGAUGCUUAUUAAGUGCUAUUACAAUAUAAUAAAGCAUAGAUUCGUAGAUUUUUCUAUGAUUUUUACACUAUUUUGAUGAUAGUCUUCAUUUUGAUAUUAAGAAAAAUGAAGCAUACAGACGAUCACGGCAGUAAAAACUAGUGAAUUUACAAAGCUAAGUGCUACUGGUGUGGAAUACAUAGGUGAAUCAUUGUAUAAAACUUUAUAUACAUAGCAUCAUUUUAUAUUGCUGUAUCAGACCUUUGCUGAGCAGCCAAUAGAAGCAGUAAAUGGAGGAUGGAUGAGGUGAUAAGCAGCCAUUAUGGAUUGCCCCAAUCACUUAAUGAUUUGGAAAUGUACUAACGCCUAUAUAGGCCAGUUUGGGGAGAACUAAUGUUUACAAUGCUGAGUCUUGCAAAUUAAUGAAUGUGAUGUAUCUUGCCACUUCUUUAAUGCCUCUCAAUGAAAUUUUAUCACUUUUUCUAUAGAGGAUUUGUACUUCAUUUUUAGAUUCAUUCGUUCAUUUAUAAUUACAUUUUUUAUUUUGAGAUAAUUAUAGAUUCAGUUGAAAGAAAUAACACAAAUGGAUCCUGUGUCCCUUUCAUAAUUUUCCUCAACAGGAACACCUUGUAAGACCAUAUGACAAUCAAGAUGUUAACAUGAUACAGUUAAGAUGCACAGCAUUUCCAUCACCACAAAGAUCACUCAUGUUUCCCUAUAGCCACAUCCACUUCUCUUCCAUCCCCUCCUUAACCCCUAGCAGCCACUAAUCUGUUCUUCAUUUCUGAAAUUUUGGCAUUCUAAGCAUGUUAUAUAAAUGGAAUCAUACAAAUAUGUAACCUCAUGGGAUUGGCUUUUUUCUUUUUUUGGCUGCACCCACAGCAUAUGCAAACUCCCAGGCCAGGGAAUGAAUCUGAGCCAUAGCUAUGGCAACACUGAAUCCUUAACCCACUGUGUUGGGACAGGGAUUCAACCUGUGCCUUGGCAGUGAUUUGAACCACUGCAGUUGUGCCACUGUGCCACAGGGGUAACUCUGGGAUUGGCUUUUGAAAUUCAGCUUAAUUUUCUGGAGAUUUGUCCAGGUUGUUGUGUAAGUCAAUAAUUAGUUCCUUUUUAUUGCUGAGUAGCAUUCCAUGAUAUGGAUGUACCACAGUUUGUUUAACCAUUCCUGUCUCAAAGGAUAUCUGGGUUGUUUUCAGUUUUUUGGCUAUUAUAAAUAAAGCUGCUGUAAACAUUCAUGUAUAAAUUUUUAUGUGAAAUAAUUUUUAUUUUUCUGGGAUAAAUGUCCAAGAGUGCAGUUGCUGGGCUCUAUGUUACUUGCAUGUUUUGUUUUACAAGAAACUGCCACACUGUUUGUCAGAGUCAUAUCCUUCCAGCAAUGUGUGAGUGAUCUAGUUUCUCUGUAUCUCUUCCAGUAAUUUUUUUUUAAUUUUUAUUUAAUGGCCUUGCCUGUGGCAUUUGGAAAUUCGCGGGCCAGGGACUGAAUCUGAGCCACUGCUGUGACCUACCACACAUGCGGGCAAUGCCAGCUCCUUUAACUCACUGUGCCAGGCCAGGGAUUGAACUCCAGCCUCUGCAGCGACCUGUCAGAUUCUUAACCCCACUGAGCCACAGCUGGAACUCCCAGCCAGUAAUGUAUUAAAAUAGGAUAGAUUGAUUCCUCUUACUUUAUUCUUUUUUCAAAAUUGUUUUAAGUAUUUUAGUUCUUUUAACUUUUAUAUAAAUUUUAGAAUAAACUUGUCGAUAUCUAUUGUACAGUAACAAAUUGACCUUGCCCUGAAAGGUUUCAGCUGGAACUCUGGAGUAUCUGGAGAUUAAAGUUAGCCAUGCAGGAGUUCUUGUUGUGGCUCAGUGGGUUAAGAAUCCAAUAUAGUGUCUGUGAGGAUGUGGGUUUGAUCCCUGGCCUCGCUCAGUGCUUUAAGGAUCCUGCAUUGCCAUGAGCUAUGGUGGAGGUUACAGAUGUUGCUUGGAUCCUGUGUUGCUGUGGCCGUUGUGUAGGCUGGCAGCUACAGCUCUGAUUCAGCCACUAGCCUGGGAACUUCCAUAUGCUAAGGGUGUGGCUCUAAAAACGAAAAAAGGUUCAGGUGAAUUUCCCCAGUUUGCACUAUAGUGUGUGUAUUCUCAUCCAAUGUUGCUGGGAGAAGACAGCACUGUGCAUUACUUGACUGGAAGUGAACAACUGGAAAUUCAUCCUUGGAACCUUCCUGGACUCUGCCCUAUGUACGUUUCCUUGCUGAUUUUAGACUAUAUCCUUUUGCUGUACUAGACUGUCACCAUGAACAUAAUAGCUUUCAGGAAGUUCUGAGUCCUUCUGGCAAAUGAUCGCACCUAGAGAUGAUCUUAGGGACACCUGCUUGUGGUAGGUAUGAGAAGUGAGGGUGGUCUUGGAGACUUCAGAAGGUUAUAUCUACAAAAAACCUUGCUGGAAUUUUGACAGAAAUUUUGUUAAAUUUGUAUGUCAACUGGGGAGAAAUGGCAUCUUUACUAUAUUCAGUGAGUAAAUCUAUGAAUAUGACAUGUUUGUUAAUGCUACUAUAAAUGGGUAUUUAACUGCCUGUUGUUGGUAUACAGAAAUGCAACUGACUUCUGUAUAACAAUUUUGUAUCCAGCAACCUUGCUAAAUUGUCCUUGUCCUCCUAAGAAUUUAUCUGUAGAUUUUGAAUUUUCUACAUAAAUGAUUAUAUCACACGUGAAUAAUUUCAGGUUUUUUCUUUUCUAAUUCUUAUAGCUUUUAUUUCUUCCAGUCAUAAAUUUUAGAAAACUUUGAACUAUAAACAACACAGCUGCAAAUGUAACUAAUGAAAUGAAUAAAAUAUAAAGCAAAUUAUUAUGAAUAACAUGAAUAUGGCAUAAGAUUACUACAUUUUCUAUUUUGAUUGAUUUCUUGAUGAUGCACUUAAAAAAAAAAAGACAGUGAAAAAAGAAAAAGUUUUGUCAGGUAAUGUCAUCUAGUUGCUGACUGCUGGUCAUGAAAGCUCCCUGUCAUUUUAUGACAGAUACUGACAGCUUCUGGAGGAUCACUUUGCUCCUAAUACUGUGACUUCUUUUCAUUCUAGUUAAGGUAAUGUAGAAACAGACUAUUUUUGUUACAUUCAGUCUAGAGUUACCCUCACCUGUCUGGUACUACUUAAAUUUCAUUCCCAGUACGCUCCCCCAAGGCAUUUCCUCUCUGAAUGUCCUUUUCUUUAAAAAAAAAAAGAUCCCAUAAUGCAACUGCCGUCUACAUAGGAAGAAUCCUUAAAGGAUUCUGAACGUCUUUCUAUAACACCAUUAAUACAUAUAGAAUAACAUCUUUCAUUAAGAUAAUAAUGAACUGAUUUUAAAUUAAAUACAUAUAUUCUCAAAUAUGUCAUGUAAACAUAGUAAAUGCCUACUAUUUACUAAUUUAGAAAAUGUCAUGGGAACAUAUUAGAUAGGACUGAUUACUUAGGUACCGGAUAAUAUUUUAGAGUAUUAGCUUAAUUCAUGAGCACUUAAAUUAAGUUUAACUAUGGACUGAUUUAUGAUAACAUAGAAUAUAAACAGAUAUGACUAAACAAUUACCAGAAAAGUUUAUGAAAAUUAUUUACAAUUAUAAUCCUUACUGCAUCUAUACUAAAUUUUAUUCUAAAAAGACUUUUUUGGGGGGUCUUUUUAGGGCUGCACCCACAGCAUAUGGAGGUUCCCAGGAUAGGGGUCUAAUCAGAUCUGUAGCUGCCGGCCUAUGCCACAGCCACAGAAACGCCAUAUCUGAGCUGCAUUUGUGACCUUCACCACAACUGGUGGUAACACCCGAUCCUUGAGCUGCUGAGCAGGGCUAGGGAUCGAACUCGCAACCUCAUGAUUCCUAGUUGGAUUCAUUUCCGCUGCACCAUGAUGGGAACUCCUAAAAAGACACUUCAAAACUCUAACUGGACUUUCCACAUAGGCUUUUCUGUAACUGUCCAGAAGAUUCAUAGGCAGAAAUAUUUCACGAUUGCUCAAGGAAUUAAAAUUUCCUUUCUAGGAGUUUCCCAUUGUGGCUCAUUGGGUCAUGAAUCCAUGAGGAUGUGGGUGUGAUCCCUGGCCUCCCUCACUGGGUUAAGGGAUGUGGCAUUGCUGUGAGCUGUGGUGCAGGCUACAGAUGAGGCUGGGAUCUUGUAUUGCUGUGGUUGUGGUAUAGGCUGGCAGCUGCAGCUCCAGCUUGACCCCUAGCCUGGGAACUUCCAUAUGCCACAGGAGCAACCAUUAAAAAAAAAAAAAAAAAAAAA